rnacentral:rRNA from 1 species
UUCCAGACUCCUACGGGAGGCAGCAGUGGGGAAUAUUGGGCAAUGGGCGCAAGCCUGACCCAGCAACGCCGCGUGAAGGAAGAAGGCUUUCGGGUUGUAAACUUCUUUUCUGAGGGACGAAGAAAGUGACGGUACCUCAGGAAUAAGCCACGGCUAACUACGUGCCAGCAGCCGCGGUAAAACGUAGGGUGCAAGCGUUGUCCGGAAUUACCGGGUGUAAAGGGAGCGCAGGCGGAUUGACAAGUUGGGAGUGAAAACUACGGGCUCAACCCGUAACCUGCUUUCAAAACUGUCAGUCUUGAGUGGUGUAGAGGUAGGCGGAAUUCCCGGUGUAGCGGUGGAAUGCGUAGAUAUCGGGAGGAACACCAGUGGCGAAGGCGGCCUACUGGGCACUAACUGACGCUGAGGCUCGAAAGCAUGGGUAGCAAACAGGAUUAGAUACCCGCGUAGU